rnacentral:rRNA from 1 species
UACGAAGGGUGCAAACGUUGCUCGGAAUCAUUGGGCGUAAAGCGCACGUAGGCGGCUCCAAAAGUUGGAUGUGAAAUCCCUCGGCUCAACCGAGGACGUGCAUCCAAAACUGUGGGGCUUGAGUACUGAAGAGGAUCGCGGAAUUCCCGGUGUAGAGGUGAAAUUCGUAGAUAUCGGGAGGAACACCAGUGGCGAAGGCGGCGAUCUGGGCAGAUACUGACGCUGAGGUGCGAAAGCGUGGGGAGCAAACAGG